ACGAACGCUGGCGGCGUGCUUAACACAUGCAAGUCGAACGGAAAGGCCCUGCUUGCAGGGUACUCGAGUGGCGAACGGGUGGGUAACACGUGGGUGAUCUGCCCUGCACUUCGGGAUAAGCCUGGGAAACUGGGUCUAAUACCGGAUAGGAGCCAUUUUUAGUGUGAUGGUUGGAAAGUUUUUUCGGUGUAGGAUGAGCUCGCGGCCUAUCAGCUUGUUGGUGGGGUAAUGGCCUACCAAGGCGGCGACGGGUAGCCGGCCUGAGAGGGUGGACGGCCACAUUGGGACUGAGAUACGGCCCAGACUCCUACGGGAGGCAGCAGUGGGGAAUAUUGCACAAUGGGCGCAAGCCUGAUGCAGCGACGCCGCGUGGGGGAUGACGGCCUUCGGGUUGUAAACUCCUUUCGCUAGGGACGAAGCUUUUUGUGACGGUACCUAGAGAAGAAGCACCGGCUAACUACGUG
rnacentral:rRNA from 1 species